CGGAAUGUCAGGCUGUGGGGAUUGUGACAUGGAAAGUAUGUGGGCUGGCUCUGUUGUGUUUUAUUUUCUCCUUUUGAGGCCUUUCUGUCCUUUGUGCUUUUACCACUGCUUGUGGGCAAACAUCUUCGUGGAUGAUGAACAAGAAAUGACAUCAUGGAAACAGUCUGGCGGUGACCCACAAGUGAUUCAAAGAGCAGGAAUUGUGUCUGUUUGAACAGGAUCACACAUUCAAGGCCAAAUAUGGAGUGGAGAAGCUUUAGAAAAAUGUUUAAUUUUCAAUAAAUGUACUUGCUUCAGGUGUACCAUACAUCAAAAUAAAGCAUGUUUAUGGAGAAAAUUUCA